GAUUGUGGCUCAGUGGUAGAGUGCUUGCCUCACAUGUGUGAGGCCCUGGUUUCAAACCUCAGUACCA
rnacentral:tRNA from 1 species